AGUCGAGCGAGUCUGCCUUGAGAUCGGAGUGCUUGCACUCUGUGAAACAAGAUACAGGCUAGCGGCGGACGGGUGAGUAACACGUGGGUAACCUGCCCAAGAGAUCGGGAUAACACCUGGAAACAGAUGCUAAUACCGGAUAACAACAGAUGAUGCCUAUCAACUGUUUAAAAGAUGGUUCUGCUAUCACUCUUGGAUGGACCUGCGGUGCAUUAGCUAGUUGGUAGGGUAACGGCCUACCAAGGCGAUGAUGCAUAGCCGAGUUGAGAGACUGAUCGGCCACAUUGGGACUGAGACACGGCCCAAACUCCUACGGGAGGCAGCAGUAGGGAAUCUUCCACAAUGGACGCAAGUCUGAUGGAGCAACGCCGCGUGAGUGAAGAAGGGUUUCGGCUCGUAAAGCUCUGUUGUUGGUGAAGAAGGACAGGGGUAGUAACUGACCUUUGUUUGACGGUAAUCAAUUAGAAAGUCGCGGCUAACUACGUGCCAGCAGCCGCGGUAAUACGUAGGUGGCAAGCGUUGUCCGGAUUUAUUGGGCGUAAAGCGAGUGCAGGCGGUUCGAUAAGUCUGAUGUGAAAGCCUUCGGCUCAACCGGAGAAUUGCAUCAGAAACUGUCGAGCUUGAGUACAGAAGAGGAGAGUGGAACUCCAUGUGUAGCGGUGAAAUGCGUAGAUAUAUGGAAGAACACCGGUGGCGAAAGCGGCUCUCUGGUCUGUUACUGACGCU
rnacentral:rRNA from 1 species